rnacentral:rRNA from 1 species
GAUAAACGCUGGCGGCGUGCUUAACACAUGCAAGUCGAACGAAGUUUUUCCUUCGGGAGACACUUAGUGGCGGACGGGUGAGUAACGCGUGGGUAACCUGCCCUGUACAGGGGGCAACAGCUGGAAACGGCUGCUAAUACCGCAUAAGCACUUAGCACUGCAUGGUGCAUAGGGAAAAGGAGCAAUCCGGUACAGGGUGGACCCGCGUCUGAUUAGCCAGUUGGCAGGGUAACGGCCUACCACAGCGACGAUCAGUAGCCGAGCUGAGAGGAAGUACGGCCACAUUGGGAGUGAGACACGGCCCAGAAUCCUACGGGAGGCAGCAGUGGGGAAUAUUGCACAAUGGAGGAAGCUCUGAUGCAGCGACGCCGCGUGAGUGAAGAAGUAUUGCGGUAUGUAAAGCUCUAUCAGCAGGGAAGAAAAUGACGGUACCUGACUAAGAAGCACCGGCUAAAUACGUG